GACAUUGUAUGUCGUUGGGCAAUCAACCACCAGGAAGUUAGUGGUAAUGGUAGCUGUGUAAGGGCCUGUACUAAUGGUGAAAGGUAAGUGUAUGCUCCCCAAAGGUUGCACGAUAUCACCGGAGAAGCUUAUCAGAAGGGAAAUCAAGCGAUCGAGCAAGUGUUCAGCUACAUUAAGUGCCCUGAAAGCUUCAGCAAACAUGAUAUUGACCGAAGCCCCCGUGUUUACCAGG
rnacentral:lncRNA from 1 species